UACGUAGGGGGCAAGCGUUGUCCGGAUUUACUGGGCGUAAAGAGCGUGUAGGCGGCCAAGCAGGUCCGUUGUGAAAACUCGAGGCUCAACCUCGAGACGUCGGCGGAAACCAUCUGGCUAGAGUCCGGAAGAGGAGAGUGGAAUUCCUGGUGUAGCGGUGAAAUGCGCAGAUAUCAGGAAGAACACCCGUGGCGAAGGCAGCUCUCUGGGACGGUACUGACGCUGAGACGCGAAAGCGUGGGGAGCGAACAGG
rnacentral:rRNA from 1 species